CAGCCGCGCGGUAAUACCGGCGGCCCGAGUGGCGGUCACUAUUAUUGGGCUUAAAGCGUCCGUAGCCGGGUUGGGAAGUCCUCCGGGAAAUCUGGCCGCUUAACGGUCAGAAUGCCGGAGGAUACUCCCAGCCUAGGGAGCGGGAGAGGCCGAGGGUAUUCCCGGAGUAGGGGUGAAAUCCUAUAAUCCCGGGAGGACCACCUGUGGCGAAGGCGCUCGGCUGGAACGCGUCCGACGGUGAGGGACGAAGGCCAGGGGAGCAAACCGGAUUAGAUACCCGGGUAGUCCUGGCUGUAAACGAUGCGGACUUUGUGUCGGACAAGCUAUGAGCUUGUCCGGUGCCGGAGGGAAACCGUUAAGUCCGCCGCCUGGGGAGUACGGCCGCAAGGCUGAAACUUAAAGGAAUUGGCGGG
rnacentral:rRNA from 1 species